GCUCAAAUGGGUUAGUGGGGUAGACCGGUUUCGUAAUUUCAGGUACUCUGUGAUGAUUUCCGAGACCGACGUGGGUUCGAUUCCCGCUUAGAGCG